GACGAACCACACGAACGUUAUUCGGAAUUACUGGGCUUAAAGGGUGCGUAGGCGGCGCGGUAAGUAGGGUGUGAAAUCCCUCGGCUCAACCGAGGAACUGCGCUCUAAACUACCGUGCUCGAGGGAGAUAGAGGUGAGCGGAACUUAGGGUGGAGCGGUGAAAUGCGUUGAUAUCCUAAGGAACACCGGUGGCGAAAGCGGCUCACUGGAUCUCUUCUGACGCUGAGGCACGGAAAGCUAGGGUAGCGAACGGG
rnacentral:rRNA from 1 species